UCUUAGGUCCGUGUGAAUGAGUGUCUGUUUAGCAUGGAAAGGGUGGAGUUUGAACCUGCAUAUUUACAAGCUUCUAGGUAAAGCCAAGGCUAUCUAGGCAAGGACCACACUUUGAGUAGCAAAGGCCUAUACUUCUAUAUCACAGUUGUUCUGAUGUGGGUUGGUACCAUCUUACUGGACUCUAGCCAGUCAUUAACUUGCUUUGCCUUUCCAAACCCGUUCCCCAUAUAGUUCAAGAAGCCUUUUAACAUAUAAGUGACACCAUCAAUUCUCUUAUCACCACCCAUGCAGUGGCUCCAUGUUGCUUAGAGAUAAAGCCUCAGCUCCUAUUGAUGACCCUUGGACUCCCUCAUGAGUAGGCUCUGCACCUAGCCAGCUUCCUCUGCCACUCCCCAUCUGAAACACAAGGUCCUUGUGUGGUAGGCACCAUCAAGGUCUCCUCAAUGAUCCCUGUUUCAUGCCCCUGUGCAGUCCCCGCUCCUACUGAACAGGACUGAUCUGUGAGGCUACUGAGAUUCUGUGUGAUUUCUCUGAUUAGGUAAUAAAAAAUACUUGGCUUUUAAAAAUGUGUUUUUGUGGUGCUGGGGAUCAAACCCAGGGCCUUGUGCACGCAAGGCAAGAACUCUACCACUGAGUUACAUCCCCAGCCCAAUACUUGGCUUUUGCCUUAUUCCUUAGAUCAUUCACUCUGGGAGAAGACAGCUAUCAGGUCAUGAGAACUCAUCGGUGGGCCUAUCAAGAAAGCCAUGUGGUAAGGAACUAAGAUGUUCUGUCAAUAGCCACUGAGUUAAACAUUCUAAAAGCAGACCUUCAGCCCCAUCAAACAUUUACAUGGCUGCAGCCCCUGCUGAAAGCUUGACUGCAGCCACAUGACAAACUCUGAAUUAGAAGCUUCCAGCUGUCACUCCUGAAUUCCUGGCCCACAGAAGUGGUGAGAUGACAAAUGUCUGUUUCAUUAAGCACUGCAUUUUAAGUGGUUUUUUUGUGUAGCUAUGGAUGACUUCUCCUAUGCAGAGUUUCCCACAGUAUGCUGGUUCCUCCUCUGGGAAUACCCUUCAUUUUGGUAACUCCUAUUCAUCCUUUGAGAGGCAGCUUUCUAGUUCCUUCCUUUGGGAAGCCCCUUUGACAUCUACCUUUAAGACUAGGCCAUAUGUCUCUUCUCUAGGCUGUGAUGAUGCCCUUGGCAUGUCUUUAUCCCUGUAUUUAUUAUAAUGCCUAGAUAUUAUCUAUAUCUUUAGUGCCAGUCACAGUGCCUGGCACAUAGUAGGCACUCACUACAUGCACAAUGAAGAAAUGAAUGAAGUCAGCUGUCCUGGAAUCACGACUCCACAGCAACUUAUCUCUUUACUUUGGAAAUUCCCAAAACACCUGCCACUGCUUGCUUGACCAGCUGUCUCCCAUGAGAAAGCUGUAAUUCAAUCCAUGGACUGCUUCGUUUCUAGUUUUUGGUUACAGCACUCAUUCAUUGACUUACUUCAGUAACUUUUAAUCAGGAGAACAUACCAGAAUCAUCUGUGAAAAUUUUAAAAAAUGUACUCCUGUUUCAGUUUUGCCUCCAGAGAUUCUGAGUCAGAAGUCACAAGCACAUAAGGUAACAGCAGCAAAAUUCUAAAGAUGAGAACAUGCAGCUACACUGAGUGGAGGCUGGAUAUGAACGGGACGUGACCUGAAUGGGGAAGGACCUCAGUCACUGCAGUUGUAAGAGAAAUGUAAUUCUGACGAAACAAGAAUGACUCCCAUGGUGUUUCUAGAAAAAUUAGAUCAGAAUUCACAUUAAAAAAAUCUGAAGACAUCUUUGCCUUUGAUAUCCUUACUUGGUCUCCUGCUGAAAUUCACCCCAUCAGUCCCCUUAUGAAGUUGGCUGAGACAGCCUCAGUAAUCAAUCAAUGGGAUUUUGUGAGAUACUUGCAAAUCAUCAACUGCCAAACCACUGAGAUUUUUCAGACAACUCUAUAAUGGACUUUUGAGGACUUCUGCUAUAUUACAGAAAUUGUAUCAAGUAGCAAAUAAAAAAGAAAGCAUUCAAAGUAUCCACAUUGUUAUGAUGUCUAACUGUGGAACUGACGGUGCUCAAAAUAUUCCCUGUUCUCUGAACUCUUAAUUUUCUUUUCUUUUUCUUCCUCUUUCUCUCGUCUCCCCUGCUAGCCUUCUACCUCCUUGACCUAAUUUCCUGAUCUCUUCAUAACAACUAUGGAUCCAACCAUGACCCCUUUUCUGAUUCCUUAUUCUCCCUUUCUGUAGUUCUUAAUUAUUUACCUUGGGACCCUAGACUCCUUGAAUAUGACUUUUAAAAAAAAUGUUCUCCUUUUUCUUCAUUGGACCAUAUCAUCCUUCUCCUGGAUGAACAAAACAAAACAAAACAACAAGGCCCAAAACAGAUGUUUCACCAGUCCUGUGGCCAUAUUUUGUACCUUUUUUCUCUUGAAGUACUGUAAAUGCCUUGGAAAAUGUGAGCUAUGUUGGGUGGGCUUGGAGUAGGGCAUGGUGACCCUUCAGCAAUGAACACAGGACAAUGAGAAAGAAGAGCCAAGAAAGUGCAGGUGUAGGACUGGAGGAAGUUAACGUGGCUGCCGAUAAUGUAACUGUUGAUAACUUGGAAAGUUCAACUCCUGAUAUCUAAAGGGGCCUGAAAUAUUAAGCUUUAAUCUGGGAAGAGUUCAGCUGUAAAGUCUGAGCUUAGGCAAAACACAAAGCUUCAAGCACAAGUCUGCUUCUCUGUUGUAGUUCUGGUGAGCAGCCUGUGAAGGCACACUUCAAGUGCUUGAGAACUUACGAAAACAGAAUUCAGUUCCCUUAGGGAGGAUGUUGGCAGGGGCUCAGCAGGCAAUCCUGAAGUCAACUUACAUACAGUUCCAAUGUUCAUGGAGAAUUAGAGUGCCCAAUGGAGAAACCAAGGCAGA